CGAACGCUGGCGGCGUGCUUAACACAUGCAAGUCGAACGCGAAAGGGACUUCGGUCCUGAGUAAAGUGGCGCACGGGUGAGUAACGCGUAGAUAACCUGUCUUCAUGUCUGGAAUAAUACGCCAAAGGGGGUACUAAUACCGGAUAUUCUUGCUUUUCAUAAGUUAUGCAAGCAAAGGUGGCCUCUGCAUAUGCUACUGCAUGAAGAGGGGUCUGCGUACCAUUAGCUAGUAGGUGGGGUAAUGGCCUACCUAGGCGACGAUGGUUAGCGGGUCUGAGAGGAUGAUCCGCCACACUGGCACUGGAACACGGGCCAGACUCCUACGGGAGGCAGCAGUGAGGAAUAUUGCGCAAUGGGGGAAACCCUGACGCAGCGACGCCGCGUGAGUGAGGAAGGCCUUCGGGUCGUAAAGCUCUGUCAAGAGGAAAGAAGUGUACAAUGGCUAAUACCUGUUGUAUUUGACGGUACCUCUAAAGGAAGCACCGGCUAACUCCGUGCCAGCCGCCGC
rnacentral:rRNA from 1 species